rnacentral:rRNA from 1 species
GUUGACCUCGGAUCAGGUAGGGAUACCCGCUGAACUUAAGCAUAUCAAUAAGCGGAGGAAAAGAAACCAACCGGGAUUACCCUAGUAACGGCGAGUGAAGCGGUAAGAGCUCAAAUUUGAAAGCUGGCCCCUUCGGGGUCCGCAUUGUAAUUUGCAGAGGAUGCUUCGGGAGCGGUCCCCAUCUAAGUGCCCUGGAACGGGCCGUCAUAGAGGGUGAGAAUCCCGUAUGGGAUGGGGUGCCCGCGCCCGUGUGAAGCUCCUUCGACGAGUCGAGUUGUUUGGGAAUGCAGCUCUAAUUGGGUGGUAAAUUUCAUCUAAAGCUAAAUAUUGGCCGGAGACCGAUAGCGCACAAGUAGAGUGAUCGAAAGAUGAAAAGCACUUUGAAAAGAGAGUUAAACAGCACGUGAAAUUGUUGAAAGGGAAGCGCUUGCGAUCAGACUCGCUCGCGGGGUUCAGCCGGCCUUCGGGCCGGUGUACUUCCCCGCGGGCGGGCCAGCGUCGGUUUGGGCGGCCGGUCAAAGGCCCCUGGAAUGUAACGCCUCUCGGGGCGUCUUAUAGCCAGGGGUGCCAUGCGGCCUGCCCGGACCGAGGAACGCGCUUCGGCUCGGACGCUGGCAUAAUGGUCGUAAGCGACC